rnacentral:rRNA from 1 species
UCGGGAAUUUUGGGCAAUGGGCGAAAGCCUGACCCAGCAACGCCGCGUGAGGGAUGAAGUAUUUCGGUAUGUAAACCUCGAAAGAAUGGGAAGAAUAAAUGACGGUACCAUUUAUAAGCUCCGGCUAACUACGUGCCAGCAGCCGCGGUAAUACGUAGGGAGCAAGCGUUGUUCGGAUUUACUGGGCGUAAAGGGCGCGUAGGCGGCGCGGUAAGUCACUUGUGAAAUCUCUGGGCUUAACUCAGAACGGCCAAGUGAUACUGCUGUGCUAGAGUGCGGAAGAGGCAACCGGAAUUCUUGGUGUAGCGGUGAAAUGCAUAGAUAUCAAGAGGAACACCUGAGGCGAAGGCGGGUUGCUGGGCCGACACUGACGCUGAUGCGCGAAAGCCAGGGGAGCAAACG